UAGGGAAUCUUCGGCAAUGGACGGAAGUCUGACCGAGCAACGCCGCGUGAGUGAAGAAGGUUUUCGGAUCGUAAAGCUCUGUUGUAAGAGAAGAACGAGUGUGAGAGUGGAAAGUUCACACUGUGACGGUAUCUUACCAGAAAGGGACGGCUAACUACGUGCCAGCAGCCGCGGUAAUACGUAGGUCCCGAGCGUUGUCCGGAUUUAUUGGGCAUAAAGCGAGCGCAGGCGGUUAGAUAAGCCUGAAGUUAAAGGCUGUGGCUUAACCAUAGUAGGCUUUGGAAACUGUUUAACUUGAGUGCAAGAGGGGAGAGUGGAAUUCCAUGUGUAGCGGUGAAAUGCGUAGAUAUAUGGAGGAACACCGGUGGCGAAAGCGGCUCUCUGGCUUGUAACUGACGCUGAGGCUCGAAAGCGUGGGGAGCAAACAGGAUUAGAUACCCUGGUAGUCCACGCUGUAAACGAUGAGUGCUAGGUGUUAGACCCUUUCCGGGGUUUAGUGCCGUAGCUAACGCAUUAAGCACUCCGCCUGGGGAGUACGACCGCAAGGUUG
rnacentral:rRNA from 1 species